GCACAAUAUAGCUAGUUAGUGAAGAUACGGUUCACAAGCUCGAUGCGUAGCGACUGAAGGGUGAUCCGCACACUUGACUGAGACACGCCCAGACUCUACGGAGCAGGCAGUAGGAUCUCGCAUGACGAAGGUCUGACGAGCACGUCGCGUGAGUGAUGAUGUUUUUCGGAUCGUAAAGCUCUGUGUAGGGAAGAACAAGUACCGUUCGAAUAGGGCGGUACCUUGACGGUACCUAACCAGAAAGCCACGGCUAACUACGUGCCAGCAGCCGCGGUAAUACGUAGGUGGCAAGCGUUGUCCGGGAAUUAUUGGGCGUAAAGGGCUCGCAGGCGGUUUCUUAAGUCUGAUGUGAAAGCCCCCGGCUCAACCGGGGAGGGUCAUUGGAAACUGGGGAACUUGAGUGCAGAAGAGGAGAGUGGAAUUCCACGUGUAGCGGUGAAAUGCGUAGAGAUGUGGAGGAACACCAGUGGCGAAGGCGACUCUCUGGUCUGUAACUGACGCUGAGGAGCGAAAGCGUGGGGAGCGAACAGGAUUAGAUACCCUGGUAGUCCACGCCGUAACUGAUGACUCUAAGGGUUAGGGGGUUUUCCCCCCUUAGUGCCGCAGUUAACGCAUUAAGCACUCCGCCUGGGGAGUACGGUCGCAAGACUGAAACUCAAAGGAAUUGACGGGGGCCCGCACAAGCGGUGGAGCAUGUGGUUUAAUUCGAAGCAACGCGAAGAACCUUACCAGGUCUUGACAUCCUCUGACAAUCGUAGAGAUAGGACGUCCCCUUCGGGGGCAGAGUGACAGGUGGUGCAUGGUUGUCGUCAGCUCGUGUCGUGAGAUGUUGGGUUAAGUCCCGCAACGAGCGCAACCCUUGAUCUUAGUUGCCAGCAUUCAGUUGGGCACUUUAAGGUGACUGCCGGUGACAAACCGGAGGAAGGUGGGGAUGACGUCAAAUCAUCAUGCCCCUUAUGACCUGGGCUACACACGUGCUACAAUGGACAGAACAAAGGGCAGCGAAACCGCGAGGUUAAGCCAAUCCCACAAAUCUGUUUUCAGUUCGGAUCGCAGUCUGCAACUCGACUGCGUGAAGCUGGAAUCGUUAGUAAUCGCGGAUCAGCAUGCCGCGGUGAAUACGUUCCCGGGCCUUGUACACACCGCCCGUCACCCCACGAGAGUUUGUACCACCCGAAGUCGGUGAGGUAACCUCAUAGGAGCCAGCCGCCGAAGUGACAGAGGUU
rnacentral:rRNA from 1 species